GACGAACGCUGGCGGCGCGCCUAACACAUGCAAGUCGAACGAGCGAGAGAGAGCUUGCUUUCUCGAGCGAGUGGCGAACGGGUGAGUAACGCGUGAGGAACCUGCCUCAAAGAGGGGGGCAACAGUUGGAAACGACUGCUAAUACCGCAUAAGCCCACGGCUCGGCAUCGAGCAGAGGGAAAAGGAGCAAUCCGCUUUGAGAUGGCCUCGCGUCCGAUUAGCUGGUUGGUGAGGUAACGGCCCACCAAGGCGACGAUCGGUAGCCGGACUGAGAGGUUGAACGGCCACAUUGGGACUGAGACACGGCCCAGACUCCUACGGGAGGCAGCAGUGGGGAAUAUUGCGCAAUGGGGGAAACCCUGACGCAGCAACGCCGCGUGAUCGAAGAAGGUCUUCGGAUUGUAAAGAUCUUUUAUCAGGGACGAAGAAAGUGACGGUACCUGGAUGAAUAAGCUCCGGGCUAAACUAC
rnacentral:rRNA from 1 species